CCUACGGGGGGCAGCAGUGGGGAAUAUUGGACAAUGGGGGAAACCCUGAUCCAGCGACGCCGCGUGAGUGAAGAAGUAUUUCGGUACGUAAAGCUCUAUCAGCAGGAAAGAAAAUGACGGUACCUGACUAAGAAGCCCCGGCUAACUACGUGCCAGCAGCCGCGGUAAUACGUAGGGGGCAAGCGUUAUCCGGAAUUACUGGGUGUAAAGGGAGCGUAGACGGUUAAGUAAGUCUGGAGUGAAAGGCCGGGGCCCAACCCCGGGACUGCCCUGGAAACUAUUUAACUUGAGUGCAGGAGAGGUAA
rnacentral:rRNA from 1 species